rnacentral:rRNA from 1 species
CGUAGGGUGCGAGCGUUAAUCGGAAUUACUGGGCGUAAAGCGUGCGCAGGCGGUGAUGUAAGACAGGUGUGAAAUCCCCGGGCUUAACCUGGGAACUGCAUUUGUGGCUGCAUCGCUGGAGUGCGGCAGAGGGGGAUGGAAUUCCGCGUGUAGCAGUGAAAUGCGUAGAUAUGCGGAGGAACACCGAUGGCGAAGGCAAUCCCCUGGGCCUGCACUGACGCUCAUGCACGAAAGCGUGGGGAGCAAACAGGAUUAGAUACCCUGGUAGUCCACGCCCAAAACGAUGUCAACUGGUUGUUGGGUCUUCACUGACUCAGUAACGAAGCUAACGCGUGAAGUUGACCGCCUGGGGAGUACGGCCGCAAGGUUG